ACUGAGAUACCUGCUUCUUUGUCCAUCACCUUUUGAGAUAUCAAUAGAAGAAUUAAUUCUUCCUAAUCC
rfam:Otolemur garnettii contig189636, whole genome shotgun sequence.